GACUACUGGGGUAUCUAAUCCUGUUUGCUACCCACACUUUCGAGCCUCAGCGUCAGUUGGUGCCCAGUAGGCCGCCUUCGCCACUGGUGUUCCUCCCGAUAUCUACGCAUUCCACCGCUACACCGGGAAUUCCGCCUACCUCUGCACUACUCAAGAAAGAUAGUUUUGAAAGCAAUUUAUGGGUUGAGCCCAUAGUUUUCACUCCCAACUUAUCUCCCCGCCUGCGCUCCCUUUACACCCAGUAAUUCCGGACAACGCUUGUGACCUACGUUUUACCGCGGCUGCUGGCACGUAGUUAGCCGUCACUUUCUUGUCGGGUACCGUCAUUAUCGUCCCCGACAACAGGAGUUUACGAUCCGAAAACCUUCUUCCUCCACGCGGCGUCGCUGCAUCAGAGUUUCCUCCAUUGUGCAAUAUUCCCCACUGCAGCCGCCCGUAGG
rnacentral:rRNA from 1 species